rnacentral:rRNA from 1 species
UACGUGAGGGUGCGAGCGUUUGUCCGGAAUUACUGGGCGUAAAGAGCUCGUAGGUGGUUUGUCGCGUUGUUCGUGAAAACUCACAGCUUAACUGUGGGCGUGCGGGCGAUACGGGCAUCACUGGAGUUCGGCAGGGGAGACUGGAAUUCCUGGUGUAGCGGUGAAAUGCGCAGAUAUCAGGAGGAACACCGGUGGCGAAGGCGGGGUCUCUGGGCCGAUACUGACGCUGGAGGAAGCGAAAGCGUGGGGAGCAAACAGG